AGGAUUCCCCUAGUAACGGCGAGUGAACAGGGAAGAGCUCAAAUUUGAAAUCUGGCGUGCUCAGCGCGUCCGAGUUGUAAUCUAUAGAGAUGUUUUCCGUGCCGGACCGUGUCCAAGUUCCUUGGAACAGGAUAUCAAAGAGGGUGACAAUCCCGUACUUGACACGACCCCCGGUGCUCUGUGAUACGUCCUCUACGAGUCGAGUUGUUUGGGAAUGCAGCUCAAAAUGGGUGGUGAGUUCCAUCUAAAGCUAAAUAUUGGCGAGAGACCGAUAGCGAACAAGUACCGUGAGGGAAAGAUGAAAAGCACUUUGGAAAGAGAGUUAAACAGUACGUGAAAUUGUUAAAAGGGAAACGAUUGAAGUCAGUCGUGUCCGGGAGGCUCAGCCGAUCUUCGGUGUAUUCCUCUCGGACGGGUCAACAUCAGUUUUGUCCGGCGGAUAAGGGUGGCGGGAAGGUAGCACCUUCUUGGUGUGUUAUAGCCCGCUAUCGCAUACGCUGGGUGAGACUGAGGAAUGCAGCUCGCCUUCAUUGGCCGGGGUUCGCCCACGUUCGAGCUUAGGAUGUUGACGUAAUGGCUUUAAA
rnacentral:rRNA from 1 species